rnacentral:rRNA from 1 species
CGCAUCUGUGCAUGCAGCAUAUCAAUAAGCGGAGGAAAAGAAACUAACAAGGAUUCCCUUAGUAACGGCGAGUGAAGCGGGAAGAGCUCAAAUUUGAAAUCUUCAAGGUUUUACCUUGACGAAUUGUAGUUUAAAGAAGUGUUUUCUGUUGAAGUUUUGGUAAAAGUUCUUUGGAAUAGGACAUCAUAGAGGGUGAGAAUCCCGUAUUUGACCAUUAUUUUCAGCUGUGUGAUACACUUUCAAAGAGUCGGAUUGUUUGGGAAUGCAGUCCAAAAUGGGUGGUAAAUUUCAUCUAAAGCUAAAUAUUGGCGAGAGACCGAUAGCGAACAAGUACCGUGAGGGAAAGAUGAAAAGAACUUUGAAAAGAGAGUUAAACAGUACGUGAAAUUGUCAAAAGGGAAGCGUUUGACACCAGUGUUGUUUUCUCGAAAAUCAAUUAAAAAGAGUUUGAUUUUGUUGUGUAUUGACCUUAACAGCUUGCAUUUCAAUUUUCUUGCUUUUUUUAAUGCACUUUUCGUUUAACAAGUCAACAUCAGUUUCUUUUGUUGUAAAAGAGGUCAUUGGAAGGUGGCUUUCUUUUCGGAGAAAGUGUUUAUAGCCUUUGACUCCUGCAAUCGGAGAGACUGAGGUCUGCAGCGUAGAUCCUUCGGGGUUAGAUACAUUUGUGCUAAGUUAUAGCUUUUAUAGACAACUUGUUGACUAUAAUUAGUCUUGUAGCUUACUCGCUUAUGCUAUUUUACCUACGCUUAGGAUGUUGAAGAUAUGCGCGACACG